AUUCCAGCUCCAAUAGCGUAUAUUAAAGUUGUUGCAGUUAAAAAGCUCGUAGUUGGAUUUCUGCCAGGGUGCCAAUGUCCGCCGAAGUGCGUGCGCAGCGGCGCCCUCGCAUCCUUCUGUUAACGCCUCUCGGCAUUUACUUGCCGGUGGUGGGCUCAGAUAAUUUACCUUGAGAAAAUUAGAGUGUUUCAGGCAGGCUAGGCCGGAAUACAUUAGCAUGGAAUAAUGGAAUAGGACUACGGUCUCGUUGUUGGUUUGAGGGACUGGAGUAAUGAUUAAUAGGGAUAGUUGGGGGCAUUAGUAUUUAAUUGUCAGAGGUGAAAUUCUCAGAUUUGUUAAAGACUAACUUAUGCGAAAGCAUUUGCCAAGGAUGUUUUCAUUA
rnacentral:rRNA from 1 species